CCUACGGGGGGCAGCAGUAGGGAAUCUUGCACAAUGGGCGAAAGCCUGAUGGAGCAACGCCGCGUGCAGGAUGAAGGCCUUCGGGUUGUAAACUGCUUUUAUAAGCGAGAAAUAUGAUGGUAACUUAUGAAUAAGGAUCGUCUAACUACGUGCCAGCAGCCGCGUGCAUACGUAGGAGCCGAGCAUUAUCCGGAGUGUCUGGGUGUAAAGAGUGGCGUAGGUGGCAUAAUAAGUAGCUAGUGGAAACUGGUGGCUCAAACAUUCAGACUAUUAGCUAAACUGUUAAGCUCGAGACCGUUAGGGGUAACUGGAAUUUCUAGUGUAGGAGUGAAAUCCGUAGAUAUUAGCAGGAACACCAAUGGCGUAGGCAGGUUACUGGGACGGUUCUGACGCUAAGGCACGAAAGCGUGGGGAGCAAACAGGAUUAGAUACCCUUGUAGUC
rnacentral:rRNA from 1 species